rnacentral:lncRNA from 1 species
GCAAUUAUAAAUAAUGAAAAUUAAUUAAUUGAUUAAUAAGCACCUUUUCCUUUUAGGAAGGGAUCUUCAUUCUAUUAUAAUCUCCAGGUGUUGGGGAGGACCAUAAUAAGAGGAUCUCUGAAAAUCAGGCCCUUCACAGCUCUGGAAGACCAGAUGAGUAAUGGAGAAUCCCAUGGACAGAGGAGCCUAGCAGACUAUGGCCCAAGAUGAAGCAAAGAGUCAGACACGACUGAAGUGACAGAGCAGCCAUAGAUAGCACUGAGAGGUUAAUUGUUUGAUUCAAGUUCACACAGCUAAUCAAUAUUCACUCAGAAAAUAAAGCCAGUAUUCCAGUUCUCCAGUGUUGAGCCUUCUGUAAUCCCAUAAAAAGCUUUUACAUAUUUUUGCUCUUUUGGGAAAAUGAGAAAUUACUGCCUUAUAGCUUUCUAGAUGACUUUUGAACCCCUAUUAACUUUUAUUAUUUUCUAAGCAUACAUCUGUCUACUUUUUGUACACUUGAACAUUUUGUGUACUAAGCAUAAAAAAAUAUUUUUAUAGGUUGGAUUAUAGAGGAAAUUGUUGAAAAUGUUUAUGCUGUAUCAUGGGACUUCAAUAUUGUGGUUGGAAAUUUAAUCUGAGAAUUCCAAGCUUAUAGAAUAAACAUAUAUGCAAAUAAGUAGAUAAGAAUAGAUUUUUUAAAUGUUUCAUCUGACUCAUAGGAGCUAAGUGAACCAUGAAAUGUGAAAACCUGAAGCAAAUGAAACUGGGGAGGAAAUUUAAACAUGCCCAGGGCCACAAAUAAGGUUUUAUGUUUUUCAUUUGUUGUGUUUAUUUGUUUAUUUUUCACUCUGGCUGUCUAGAGUGUAUCUUCAGUAAUGGAUAAUGUGACAAAUAACCCUCACUGUUCUCAACAGUAUGAAUUUGAAUAAAUUAGAUAUGCAGAUACUUACGGAAAUUUCACAU